UACGUAGGCAGCAAGCGUUGUUCGGAAUUACUGGGCGUAAAGAGUGUGUAGGCGGUGCUCUAAGUUCGUUGUGAAAUCUCCCGGCUUAACUGGGAGGGUGCGGCGGAAACUGGAGUGCUUGAGCGCGGGAGAGGAAAGCGGAAUUCCUGGUGUAGCGGUGAAAUGCGUAGAGAUCGGGAAGAACAUCGGUGGCGAAAGCGCUCUACUGGACCGCAACUGACACUCAGGGACGAAAGCGUGGGGAGCGAACAGG
rnacentral:rRNA from 1 species